rnacentral:lncRNA from 1 species
GCGGCGGCGCGGGGCGGGGAGGCGCGGCCGGGCCGAGAGCGAAGAAAGAGCGAGCCGGGCCGGGGAAGAGGCGCCGCGCCCGGUCCCGUGCUCGCUCGGCGGCGGACGAGGAUGUGCCCGGCUCCUGCUUUGCUCGCGUCCUCCCUAAGACGAUUUCCAUAGUAACCCGAUCAAGUGGCUCAGGACCGCAAACCUGAGGAUUUCGGCGGCCCGCCGGCGUUGACCUCGGCCAGCACGAGAAUAACUAUGAAACCAGCAACGUGGCUACCUUAACCUGGUUGUUUUCAGAGCCGUCCUCAUCCAUCAACAUAUUUGUUUCCCGAGUCUAUUGAUCUCCAUGGAUUGUGCAGAAAUGCAUUGUAAGCUGGGCGACUGUACGUCAGAAUCGGACUUCUGCAGCUCUAAGUACCACAUGUAUUGUAAAGGCAGUAUGAAUUUUGAAAUCUGAAUAAGCCAUGGGUAUAAAUAAAUACAUCUUUGAAAAA